rnacentral:rRNA from 1 species
AACGAACGCUGGCGGCAUGCCUAACACAUGCAAGUCGAACGAGACCUUCGGGUCUAGUGGCGCACGGGUGCGUAACGCGUGGGAACCUGCCCUUAGGUUCGGAAUAACUCCCCGAAAGGGGUGCUAAUACCGGAUAAUGUCUUCGGACCAAAGGUUUAUCGCCUUUGGAUGGGCCCGCGUUGGAUUAGAUAGUUGGUAGGGUAAAAGCCUACCAAGGCGACGAUCCAUAGCUGGUCUGAGAGGAUGAUCAGCCACACUGGGACUGAGACACGGCCCAGACUCCUACGGGAGGCAGCAGUGGGGAAUAUUGGACAAUGGGCGAAAGCCUGAUCCAGCAAUGCCGCGUGAGUGAUGAAGGCCUUAGGGUUGUAAAGCUCUUUUACCCGGGAUGAUAAUGACAGUACCGGGAGAAUAAGCUCCGGCUAACUCCGUG